UACGAAGGGUGCAAGCGUUACUCGGAAUUACUGGGCGUAAAGCGUGCGUAGGUGGUUUGUUAAGUCUGUUGUGAAAGCCCCGGGCUCAACCUGGGAAUGGCAAUGGAUACUGGCAAGCUAGAGUGCGGUAGAGGGUAGUGGAAUUCCCGGUGUAGCGGUGAAAUGCGUAGAGAUCGGGAGGAACACCAGUGGCGAAGGCGGCUACCUGGACCAGCACUGACACUGAGGCACGAAAGCGCGGGGAGCAAACAGG
rnacentral:rRNA from 1 species